rnacentral:rRNA from 1 species
AUUGAACGCUGGCGGCAGGCUUAACACAUGCAAGUCGAGCGGGGUGAUGGUGCUUGCACUAUCACUUAGCGGCGGACGGGUGAGUAAUGCUUAGGAAUCUACCUAUUAGUGGGGGACAACAUCUCGAAAGGGAUGCUAAUACCGCAUACGUCCUACGGGAGAAAGCAGGGGAUCACUUGUGACCUUGCGCUAAUAGAUGAGCCUAAGUCGGAUUAGCUAGUUGGUGGGGUAAAGGCCUACCAAGGCGACGAUCUGUAGCGGGUCUGAGAGGAUGAUCCGCCACACUGGGACUGAGACACGGCCCAGACUCCUACGGGAGGCAGCAGUGGGGAAUAUUGGACAAUGGGGGGAACCCUGAUCCAGCCAUGCCGCGUGUGUGAAGAAGGCCUUAUGGUUGUAAAGCACUAUAAGCGAGGAGGAGGCUCUUUUGGUUAAUACCCAAGAUGAGUGGACGUUACUCGCAGAAUAAGCACCGGCUAACUCUGUGCCAGCAGCCGCCGCCG